rnacentral:rRNA from 1 species
CGCUAGCUACAGGCUUAACACAUGCAAGUCGAGGGGCAGCAUGGUCUUAGCUUGCUAAGGCCGAUGGCGACCGGCGCACGGGUGAGUAACACGUAUCCAACCUGCCGUCUACUCUUGGACAGCCUUCUGAAAGGAAGAUUAAUACAAGAUGGCAUCAUGAGUCCGCAUGUUCACAUGAUUAAAGGUAUUCCGGUAGACGAUGGGGAUGCGUUCCAUUAGAUAGUAGGCGGGGUAACGGCCCACCUAGUCUUCGAUGGAUAGGGGUUCUGAGAGGAAGGUCCCCCACAUUGGAACUGACACACGGUCCAAACUCCUACGGGAGGCAGCAGUGAGGAAUAUUGGUCAAUGGGCGAGAGCCUGAACCAGCCAAGUAGCGUGAAGGAUGACUGCCCUAUGGGUUGUAAACUUCUUUUAUAAAGGAAUAAAGUCGGGUAUGCAUACCCGUUUGCAUGUACUUUAUGAAUAAGGAUCGGCUAACUCCGUGCCAGCAGCCGCGGUAAUACGGAGGAUCCGAGCGUUAUCCGGAUUUAUUGGGUUUAAAGGGAGCGUAGAUGGAUGUUUAAGUCAGUUGUGAAAAGUUUGCGGCUCACCCGUAAAAUUGCAGUUGAUACUGGAUAUCUUGAGUGCAGUUGAGGCAGGCGGAAUUCGUGGUGUAGCGGUGAAAUGCUUAGAUAUCACGAAGAACUCCGAUUGCGAAGGCAGCCUGCUAAGCUGCAACUGACAUUGAGGCUCGAAAGUGUGGGUAUCAAACAGGAUUAGAUACCCUGGUAGUCCACACGGUAAACGAUGAAUACUCGCUGUUUGCGAUAUACAGCAAGCGGCCAAGCGAAAGCGUUAAGUAUUCCACCUGGGGAGUACGCCGGCAACGGUGAAACUCAAAGGAAUUGACGGGGGCCCGCACAAGCGGAGGAACAUGUGGUUUAAUUCGAUGAUACGCGAGGAACCUUACCCGGGCUUAAAUUGCAGAUGAAUUACGGUGAAAGCCGUAAGCCGCAAGGCAUCUGUGAAGGUGUUGCAUGGUUGUCGUCAGCUCGUGCCGUGAGGUGUCGGCUUAAGUGCCAUAACGAGCGCAACCCUUGUUGUCAGUUACUAACAGGUUCCGCUGAGGACUCUGACAAGACUGCCAUCGUAAGAUGUGAGGAAGGUGGGGAUGACGUCAAAUCAGCACGGCCCUUACGUCCGGGGCUACACACGUGUUACAAUGGGGGGGUACAGAGGGCCGCUACCACGCGAGUGGAUGCCAAUCCCAAAAACCUCUCUCAGUUCGGACUGGAGUCUGCAACCCGACUCCACGAAGCUGGAUUCGCUAGUAAUCGCGCAUCAGCCACGGCGCGGUGAAUACGUUCCCGGGCCUUGUACACACCGCCCGUCAAGCCAUGGGAGCCGGGGGUACCUGAAGUGCGUAACCGCGAGGAGCGCCCUAGGGUAAAACUGGUGA